CUGUCCAUAUAUAUUUUUUUUGUUACGCAUUUCAAUAUUUUUUUGUAUAUAUUAUAUUAUAAUUAUUUUAAUUGAAUUAAUUGUAUAAUUUGUAAUCAAUGGCACUUUCUUUUUUACUUCAAAUAAUGUUUUGCUGUCUUUUUGUUGUUUUGUCGUCGUCGUCGUUUUACGUAAAAAAUUACCUUUACGUUUGAAUACGUAAAUAAGAAAUCUGCAAUUUGUAAGGAAUGAAUUCAAAAUGAAUUCAAUUAUCUGGUCUUCGUACAUUUUCCAGAACAAAAUUAUACAAAUGUCAGUUUUGUAUGUGUAAUGAAUGACAACAAAAGCAAGCAUACAUAUGCCGUAUGCAUACGUACAUAUGUAGAACUGAAGAUUUGCAGUCAUGAAAUUAUUAAGUAUAAAGAAGGAGAAGCCUUUCUUGGUGGGUAUAUUUUGGAUAAAACGUGAGAAAAUAACCACUAUACGAGGAUAAUCGAAUUCGGUCGGUGAUUUAUAUAAACCAUACAAUACAUUAUGGGCCUUUAACGGAAUCGCAUCCAAAAGCCCACAAAUGCAUCUAAACAUGUAAAGGACUAAACCUAUUUUAAAAUUAAACAGCAUGUGUCGUAUUAUGGUUAA